GUACACGCUGGUACAGGUAAUCGCUGGCAACGACAUCGGCCGCUUGCAUAAACUAUGCGGAAGAUUAAAUAAGGACUAAUUUCCGAAGUAUACUUCUGCAACAAGAGCAAUGAUCGUUCCAAAAUUAAGGAUAAAGAAAAGAUGGAAAUACUUUUGUUGCUGUUUUUGUUGCUUCACUUAUGUUGUGAUUUAUUGGCAGUGAAACACUCACUGAAGUAUUUCAUCAGUGGAUCUUCUGGAGUCCCAAAUGUUCCAGAGUUUUCUGGUGUAAUGGUGGUUGACGGCAUUCAGACGGGUUAUUGUGACAGCAGCAAUAAGACAUUAAAACCACAACUGGACUGGGCAAAGAAAAUAUUACAAACUAAUCCUGAGCAGCUGGAGUGGUACACUCAGAAGUGUUUUGAGGAUCAGCCAAAUGUCUUCAGAGGCCACAUUUUUAGAUGGAAGCGGCGUUUCAACCAAAGUGGAGGUGUCCACGUCAUACAGAGGAUAAGUGGAUGUGAAUGGGAUGAAAACACUGACAGUGUGACCGGAGUGUUGAAGUAUGGCUAUAAUGGAGAAGGCUUUCUUGAAUUCGACCUGAAGACACUGACGUGGAUCGCACUGAAACCAGAGGCUGACAUGAUCAAACUGAAAUGGGAUGCUGAUCGGACCAGAACAAUGGAGAACGAAGACUUUCUCACUCAGACCUGUGCAGAGUGGCUGAAGAUGUAUGUGGACAAUGGGAAAAGAUCCCUGCACAGGACAGUUCUUCCCUCAGUGUCGCUCCUCCAGAAAACUCCCUCCUCUCCAGUCAGCUGCCACGCUGCAGGUUUCUAUCCUGACAGAGUCAUGAUGUUCUGGAGAAAAGAUGGAGAUGAGAUUCAUGAUGGUGUGGGAAAAGGAGAUAUCCUCCCAAACGAUGAUGGCACCUUCCAGAUUAAUGUUGAUCUGAAUGUUUCAUCAGUCAAACCUGAAGACUGGUGGAGAUACGAGUGUGUGUUUCAGCUCUUGAGUGGUGAGAACAUCAUCGUCACUAAACUGAAUGAAACAAUGAUCAGAACCAACUGGAGAGAAAACAUAUUUGGGACUGGCAGAGAGAAACCCUCUGAUAUGACAGUUCCCAUCAUUCCUGCAGUAGUUGUUCUUGUUCUCAUCAUCGUUGCUGCUGCUGCUGGAUUUGCUGUUUACAAAAAGAAGAAAGGUGAGAGAUUCAGAAGCAACAGUGCGAGGCUCAGUUACAUUAUUUCUGUAUUACCCUAUGUAUUAAACAUGGUUAUCCUGAAUUUAUGUAAAAGAGUGGGAUAGUCAGGCAUUUCAAGUGGGAUUGUUUUUUUUAAGUUUCAGAGAGGCGAUCUACAUCAUCUCCUGACAACAAUGGUGAACAGAUUCAACUGAAUCAGGUUAAAUAGACAAACGCAGGACUCUGCACUCUCCAGUUAAAUAAGAAUAAAAGUUUUUUUUAUUUUGUUAUAUGAACUUGACUUUUUGUUUAGUUUUUAAUUGUUUUAUAAUAAAAAAGAAUGUUUAAAUGUUUACAAUACAUUUAGGCAUUUUCAUUUUUGUCUAUGAGUCUCUGUAUCAUUACAGCUAAAACUGUUUUGUUCUAUUCUAAACUUUUGUAGGGAUAACAAAUUUGUUGAGUGGUGCUUUCUUUCUAUUUCUGUUUCUUUAGAACCUUCGUUUUCUAUUGAUUGUUGUGUUUUAAAUCUUAUUGCACUAAAGAGCAAGGUGAGCUCGUUUAUGCACUGUGAGAUUCUGUGUCAUGUGAUACCAGUGAUAUGUUUCUCAGAACAUUUUGAUUUAUUAAAACUGUUAAAGCUGCUCUCUAUGUUUGAGUGCAGUCAUUGAAAAAAAUCCACAAAAAGAGAUUUUUGUGUGUAGUUUCAUAUAUUGCCCGCUGUUAUUAUUUUAUUUGAUUUAAGUUUUGUUAUUAAAUAUGUUUUGUCAUAUUAAAGUUAUCCGUUUAAGCUUCA